GUGCUGGCUUUGGCAGCACAUAUACUGAAACUGGAACAGUACAGAGGAGAUUAGCAUGGCCCUGUGUGAGGAUGACAUGCCAAUUCCUGAAGCAUUCCAUGUUUUU
rfam:Myotis lucifugus cont2.771, whole genome shotgun sequence.